UGUUUCUGGGACUGGGUUUGGUGGUUUUGGGUAUGCUCAAUAGUUUCCCUGUUGCUGGACUCCAUGAAGGCAGCUGCUUUGCAAAAGGCCAUGUGCACUGUGUGGGUUGGGAGAAACGGAGCCACAGGACCAGAAAGCAGGCUGUUUUCCCUAACUCUGAAGCAUUUUGCAGCAGGGCUUUUAAAAAUCUACAUACUUAACUGAAUGGUUAGUUAGCUAACUAGCCAGCUGAGUGAUUUCAGCAGAGGAGGAGGAAGAGUCUGCAUGGAUUCCAGCUGAAAAUAUCUACAAGCGAGUGGAGGGAAGACGUUGCUUUUGAGUCAGCAGACUGUAUAGAUUUGCUGAUCGAAGACUCUAAUUGAGACGCAGUAUCAAAAUUUUGCUCAGAGAUGGAGGAAAUUAAGCCUUUGUAACCUGUGAGAAAACAAAUCUGUCACAGUGAAUGAGCCAAUCAAUUUCCCAACACAACUUGCAUCCUCGAG